GACGAACGCUGGCGGCGUGCUUAACACAUGCAAGUCGAACGAAGAGCGAUGGAAGCUUGCUUCUCUCAAUCUUAGUGGCGAACGGGUGAGUAACGCGUAAUCAACCUGCCCUUCAGAGGGGGACAACAGUUGGAAACGACUGCUAAUACCGCAUACGAUCUAAUCUCGGCAUCGAGGAUAGAUGAAAGGUGGCCUCUACAUGUAAGCUAUCACUGAAGGAGGGGAUUGCGUCUGAUUAGCUAGUUGGAGGGGUAACGGCCCACCAAGGCGAUGAUCAGUAGCCGGUCUGAGAGGAUGAACGGCCACAUUGGGACUGAGACACGGCCCAGACCCCUACGGGAGGCAGCAGUGGGGAAUCUUCCGCAAUGGACGAAAGUCUGACGGAGCAACGCCGCGUGAGUGAUGACGGCCUUCGGGUUGUAAAGCUCUGUUAAUCGGGACGAAAGGCCUUCUUGCGAAUAGUGAGAAGGAUUGACGGUACCGGAAUAGAAAGCCACGGCUAACUACGUG
rnacentral:rRNA from 1 species